rfam:Schistosoma curassoni strain Dakar, Senegal genome assembly, scaffold: SCTD_contig0012905
AUCCAGCUGAUGAGUCCCGAAUAGGACGAAAUGUGUGUGUCCUAGAU